ACUUGUUGCCGUUAGAAAGUUUAUGCUUUUCCGGUGCUUAACUUCUAUCUUUUCGUAGGCAUGUGCGUCACUGGAACCGGGCUAUCAACCCCCAGUUACAUUUGUUGUGGUCCAAAAGCGUAAUCAUACUAGAUUAUUUCCAAACAAUCACAACGACAAGAGUGGGAAUAUCUUACCCGGCACAGUGGUAGAUACUAAAAUAUGUCACCCAACCGAUUUUGAUUUCUUUCUAUGCAGUCAUGCUGGUAUUCAGGAAACCAGCAGACCAGCUCAUUACCAUGUUCUCUGGGACGAUAACAAAUUCUCAGCUGAUGAGAUACAAUCUCUAACGAACAAUUUCUAUUAUACGUAAGCAGACCCCCCAACUAAUAUUAGAAGCAAGGGAAACACUAGAAGAUUCUGGGCAGCAACUAUUUUUUUUUAUUUUUUUUUGU